AAGUGACCUUGAUGGCAACCUUUUGAUGGGCUUAGCGGAGUAAUUGAACUCUUGAUAACGCCGUAAAUACUUAAGAGAAAGGUUUCCACAGCCAAUGUUGGGAGAUUGUUAGUGUGUGAGUUAUGAAUUGGGCGGAGAUAAAAUUUUCAUAUUGAAGAGAUAUGGGCUGAGUGAAGUAUAUAUAAGUUGGAAAGACCCACAAUUCUAUUGACUUAAGAUUUUGGGUUGGACGUGGUGUUAAAUCCAUUUGUG
rnacentral:misc_RNA from 1 species